GCAACUCGACUCCAUGAAGCUGGAUUCGCUAGUAAUCGCGCAUCAGCCAUGGCGCGGUGAAUACGUUCCCGGGCCUUGUACACACCGCCCGUCAAGCCAUGGGAGUCGGGAGUGCCUGAAGUUCGUGACCGUCACAGGAGCGACCUAAGGCAAGACCGAUGACUGGGGCUAAGUCGUAACAAGGUACC
rnacentral:rRNA from 1 species